CCGAGUUUACAACGCCCAAACCCACUGUGAACAUACUCACUUGUUGCCUUCGGCGGGAAGCAGGCGCCCCCGCCCUCCGGUAGAGACGGACGGCCCGGCCAAGGAGACGCCCUAACAAACUCUGUUUUCUAUAUGUAACUUCUGAGUGAAAACGCAUAAAUAAAU
rnacentral:misc_RNA from 1 species